AGAAGGGAUGGUUAUGGCACAACAUGAAGCAACAUCUCCCAGGCCUGAGGAAGGCAACACUACUUCAGAAGUGGGUAUCAUCUGGUGAAAAGAGAGAACGGUCUGCAGCAGGUCUUGCAGAUGGACAUCACUGUGUAGGAGCAGGCUUUGACUACACCAUACAAUGGCUAAAAUCAUUCUGGUAAUAGAUAAA